rnacentral:rRNA from 1 species
AGUGAACGCUGGCGGUAGGCCUAACACAUGCAAGUCGAACGGCAGCACAGUAAGAGCUUGCUCUUACGGGUGGCGAGUGGCGGACGGGUGAGGAAUACAUCGGACUCUACUUUUUCGUGGGGGAUAACGUAGGGAAACUUACGCUAAUACCGCAUACGACCUACGGGUGAAAGCAGGGGAUCUUCGGACCUUGCGCGAUUGAAUGAGCCGAUGUCGGAUUAGCUAGUUGGCGGGGUAAAGGCCCACCAAGGCGAGGAUCCGUAGCUGGUCUGAGUGGAUGGUCAGCCACACUGGAAGUGAGCCACCGUCCAUACGACUACGGGAGGCAGCAGUGGGGAAUAGUGGACAAUGGGGGCAAGCCUGAUACAGUGAGACCGCGUGUGUGAAGAAGGCGUUCGGGUUGGGAAGCCGUUUUGUUGGGAAAGAAAAGCAGCAGGUUAAUACCCCGCUGUUCUGACGGUACCCAAAGAAUAAGCACCGGCUAACUUCGUG